UACGAAGGGGGCGAGCGUUGUUCGGAAUUACUGGGCGUAAAGGGCGCGUAGGCGGCGACCCAAGUCAGAUGUGAAAGUCCUGGGCUUAACCUGGGGACUGCAUUUGAUACUGGGUUGCUUGAAUUCGGGAGAGGAUAGCGGAAUUCCCAGUGUAGAGGUGAAAUUCGUAGAUAUUGGGAAGAGCACCGGUGGCGAAGGCGGCUAUCUGGACCGACAUUGACGCUGAGGCGCGAAAGCGUGGGGAGCAAACAGG
rnacentral:rRNA from 1 species